UACGUAGGGUGCAAGCGUUAAUCGGAAUUACUGGGCGUAAAGCGUGCGCAGGCGGUUGUGUAAGGCAGAUGUGAAAUCCCCGGGCUUAACCUGGGAAUGGCCAUGGAAACUGGCGAACUGGAGUGCGGCAGAGGGGGGUGGAAUUCCGCGUGUAGCAGUGAAAUGCGUAGAGAUGCGGAGGAACACCGAUGGCGAAGGCAGCCCCCUGGGCUAGCACUGACGCUCAGGCACGAAAGCGUGGGGAGCAAACAGG
rnacentral:rRNA from 1 species